ACGCUGCGGUAUGCUUAACACAUGCAAGUCGAACGAACUCUUUGAGUUAGUGGCGGACGGGUGAGUAACGCGUGAGAAUCUGGCUUCAGGUCGGGGACAACAGUUGGAAACGACUGCUAAUACCGGAUGUGCCGAAAGGUGAAAGAUUUAUUGCCUGAAGAUGAGCUCGCGUCUGAUUAGCUAGUUGGUAGAGUAAAAGCCUACCAAGGCUUCGAUCAGUAGCUGGUUUGAGAGGACGACCAGCCACACUGGGACUGAGACACGGCCCAGACUCCUACGGGAGGCAGCAGUGGGGAAUUUUCCGCAAUGGGCGAAAGCCUGACGGAGCAAUACCGCGUGAGGGAGGAAGGUUUUUGGACUGUAAACCUCUUUUGAUCGGGAAGAAGUUCUGACGGUACCGAUCGAAUAAGCAUCGGCUAACUCCGUGCCAGCAGCCGCGGUAAU
rnacentral:rRNA from 1 species